rnacentral:rRNA from 1 species
UACGUAGGGGGCAAGCGUUGUCCGGAAUCAUUGGGCGUAAAGAGCGUGUAGGCGGCCAGAUAAGUCCGCUGUGAAAUCUCGAGGCUCAACUUCGAGCUGUCGGUGGAAACCAUCUGGCUAGAGUCCGGAAGAGGAGAGUGGAAUUCCUGGUGUAGCGGUGAAAUGCGCAGAUAUCAGGAAGAACACCCGUGGCGAAGGCGGCUCUCUGGGACGGUACUGACGCUGAGACGCGAAAGCGUGGGGAGCGAACAGG